GCCGCCUCUAGGGUUCUUGCGCGAAAUAUUUCGCUCUCUCUGACCGAUAGGAUCGAUCGGAAGCUGGAAGGUCAAAUUGGCGGCGAGGAUUCGAAGGGAUGCGCUAGCGAGCGUUUCUAGGUGGCCUACUCUACUCGCGCCUCUCAAAUCAAUCGCUCUCGGAAACGUUUGGUGCUGGAAUUCGUUCUUGACGGCAUACAUUGGGCAUGAACCGUGAGAAAAUUCGUCCGAGAGAAUUCGCGAGACAAUGUGUUCUGGGAGGCUUGUCUUCUAAGCAAGCAAUCCUUGUGAUAGACGCUGGCAUUUAUGUGAGCGGGGUGUCGCGUUUGAUUUCGUGAGGUAGGAGCGGUGUUAGUGCAAUCCAGUCUAGAUCUCUUGGUGGUGGUGCAUUUAUGAGGCAGCGAGCUAGAGAGGAUCAUAGGUAGACCAAUUUUUUGUGAUUUUGCGGGAGUUUUCUUUGUAAAGAGGGGAGCUGUUUUUCUUUCUUUGUUUCCUUUUUUGGAUGCUUUAGAUUGAGUGAAAGCUGCUCCAGGUUCAGUC